GCAAACUAACCAAAAAAUAUUUAGCAGUAAGUGCAACACCCGUUUCAUCUAAACGAAAUCGAUUACAUAUAUGGACAACAUUUACAAUCAUUGCUACUUUUAAGUUCGCUAUCCAAUGAAGAAUGGCACAUUAAAUUCAGGAGUUUAGGCCAUGCAUUGAUAGGCCAGUCAGGGCCUUGAUCAUGGACAAGGCCCCUUCAUUAGUAUAAGCCAUAAACUUAAGUGUUUAAGUUCAAAGCAGUAAGCAGUAAGUACAAAGUCAACAUGUUUAUAUAAACCAUUACAGAAAUAAUUUUUAAUCCACAUUUGGAACUUCUUUAAAAAGUGUUCUCAUGGAACAGAUAUUUUAAAAAUUGAAUAACAAGAGUUCCAUAUAAACAAGUUAUUUUAGAACGUGUAUUAAAAAAUAUUCCACAGGACGAAUAAAAGCAUCAAACUAUUAAAUACUAGUUUUAUUUAACAAUAUAAUAUAUUAUUGAUAUGUUUAUUGAAUGAAAGGUAUGAAAAUCAUAACAUGAGUAAAUAAUAGCUUCAAAAGAAGUAUUGAGGAGAAAAGAGAACUUGUCAAGAAUAAUACUUAAAUAAUAUUUUAUUAUGAUUUGAAUAAACUGAAAAAUACAUAGCAAUUUUAUAAUAUAAUAUAUAGAUAAUACAUAUAUAUAUAUACAUAUACAUAAAUAUCAUGUAUAUGUUCAAUAAUGUCCUGACCUUCAUAACUGUUGAUCUCAAAGAAAAAUACAAAAUAGCUUCGAACUAUGAAUUACCUAUGAGAAUAUUAUAAAUAAAUAGUAACACUAUCUAUUUAAUGGUAUUACAACAAUAUUAAACAAUUAUUGCGGUUAAAUUGAUAUUUUGAGCAUGUUAUUUAUUUUCAAUAUUCACGUAGAUAAUUUACGGUUCAGAACUAGUUUGUCUUUCUCUCUGAAAUCAACGGAUAGGAAGGUCAGGAUGUUAUUGAAUAUUAUUAUGCUUAAUAAAAAAAAUUAAAUAGUAUUAUAAUACGUAGAUGUAUGUUCAUGUAUUCUAUUUAUUAAAUGUCUUUUAUUAAAGAAACAUAUGAAUAAUACGAUAUUAUAUUGUUAAAUAACACCAAUGUCUAAUAGUUUAGUACUUUUAUUUAUCUUAUAGAAUCUUUUCUAAUACGAAAUAUAAUAUAAUAAUAUUAAAAUAUCUGUUUUACAAUAUGUGUUCCAUAAGAACCCUUUUUAAAGAAGUUCUAAAUGCGGAUAAAAAAUUAUUUCUAUAAUGGUUACAGAAAAAGCCGAAUUUCGUACUCACUUUGCAUGUAUUGCUUCGAACAUAAUACUUUAGCUUCAGGCUUAUACUAAUAGAUCGGUCUUGUCCACAGUCGUAUAUAAAGGUCUGAAAACUCCGAUGGUGGGGAUAAGGCUCUUAAAUAUCGAGAGUUGUGCUUUACAAAUCGGCUACUAUAGCACCUGAAUCUUUACUUUCUUAUUCAAUAAAGACGUUAAGGGAAGAUUUAUACAACUUUAUAAUUAAUAUAGUUAUAUAAAUUACUCUUUCUAUUUAUAAGAGAAUUUAGAAAUAUUUAGACCAUAAAUAGAAGUUACAAGUUGAUUUACAAUUUAUGAAUGUACAAUUAUCGGAUAUAAGAUCAACUAAGAUGAAUUUAUAUUUAAAUAUAUAAGUAUUUACUAGCUCGAGGAUUUAAAAAAACGGGAAGCGGCGAGGACACGAGCAACCGAAUAGGAAAAGCGGAUCAAUCUGAAUGAUAUUAAGUUGACAAACAUGUAAAUGUAUGGAUAGUGUAGAAAUAAAUAAAUAGGUAUAAAUAGCUUCUAGAACAUUUAACACGUCUCUCCUUUUACAUCCUUAGGAUAAUAAUACUCUCAAUAUCUUAUUUCUACAGUAAUAAGAAAAAAUUAUAUUGAAAUAAUGUAAAUUAUGGUAAUUCGAAGUCAUAAAAAAGUACUUUAUUUAUUCCGAAAUACAGAAAGAGAUCGGAUUCAAAUAAGUAUUAUCCAAUGUUUUAUGUGUCUGAAAGUAAUUAAGAUCAGUUAAAUUAAAAAAGAAUGAAUUAGGGUCAGAAUAUGUCUAACAUGUAUGAUAUGAUUCUUUUAUUUAAACAAUAUUUAACUUUUUCAGCAAAGUACAAGUGAUUUUUAUAUAUCCUCGCACCAACAAAUAUUUUUCCAAAUAAAAUACAAUGUCUAUGCGUCCUUGUGGUCAUAUCUUAUGUAUAUUGUUUUAUGUAUAUUGUUUCAAUUAAUCAAUAAUACUGGUACAAAGAUUUUUUCUCAAUAUAAAAAUGGAACAUUUGCAUUUUGAACAUUGUUGAAAAUUUAGGAAAUACCAUCAAGCAUUGGAAGUUAUAAAAAUGUGUUAAUAACUAGAAAUGCAUAUUCUCCUACCAUGUUUUUACUCGCUUGGACAUGUCGAAAAGAAAUAUUAUAACACCAUGAAAAUUUUAACAUGAUGUGCAUCGUUAAAUUAAUUUUCCAUAACCUCAUGAAAGUAUAUAAUAAUAUUUACAUAUGUAAAAUGAUGUCAUUAAAUUUUAUGUCAGCUCAAAGAUUUGGUAUAGCAGUUUAUAUAUUAAGUAAUAAUAUGCGGAAAUACAUUAAAGAUGAUUUUAUAUUUAUUGCCUUUAUAAGGAAUAUGAAAAUCAUUUAAUGAUCCACGUUAGGGUUAUUCGUGGACUUUUCAUGUCACAAUAAACAAAAUACUGUAGUUUUAAAUAUACAUAAUUGUAUUUAAGUACAUUACAGACAUAUGUAUGUAUAUAGAAAAAAUUUUUGUUCUGCAAUCCAAUAGUUUUAUAAAUCUUACAAGAAAGCGAAAAACCCCAACGUAAAUAAAAAAUCAUUUUACAAAUGUUUUUUGGAAUGUUUCAAGAGUAGCUUUCUCACCAAACGUUUAACGACAAAAAUAUCCAGACGAGUUAUUAUGAAAAUGGUAUUUGUCUGUCUUUGAACUUUAGAGCGUUACAUUGUACAAAAUAUGUAUGUAGUUAUUGCCAUGUACAUUCGACUUACAAAUACACGACGACUAUAAAA